rnacentral:sRNA from 1 species
AUCAAUAAGCGGAGGAAAAGAAACCAACAGGGAUUGCCUUAGUAACGGCGAGUGAAGCGGCAACAGCUCAAAUUGAAAUCUGGCGUCUUCGGCGUCCGAGUUGUAAUUUGCAGAGGGCGCUUUGGCAUUGGCAGCGGUCCAAGUUCCUUGGAACAGGACGUCACAGAGGGUGAGAAUCCCGUACGUGGUCGCUAGCCUUUACCGUGUAAAGCCCCUUCGACGAGUCGAGUUGUUUGGGAAUGCAGCUCUAAAUGGGAGGUAAAUUUCUUCUAAAGCUAAAUACUGGCCAGAGACCGAUAGCGCACAAGUAGAGUGAUCGAAAGAUGAAAAGCACUUUGGAAAGAGAGUUAAAAAGCACGUGAAAUUGUUGAAAGGGAAGCGCUUGCAGCCAGACUUGCCUGUAGUUGCUCAUCCGGGUUUCUACCCGGUGCACUCUUCUACGGGCAGGCCAGCAUCAGUUUGGGCGGUUGGAUAAAGGUCUCUGUCAUGUACCUCUCUUCGGGGAGAACUUAUAGGGGAGACGACAUGCAACCAGCCUGGACUGAGGUCCGCGCAUCUGCUAGGAUGCUGGCGUAAUGGCUGUAAGCGGCCCGUCUUGAAACACGGACCAAGGAGUCUAACAUCUAUGCGAGUGUUUGGGUGUCAAGCCCGAGCGCGUAAUGAAAGUGAACGGAGGUGGGAACCCUUCGGGGUGCACCAUCGACCGAUCCUGAUGUCUUCGGAUGGAUUUGAGUAAGAGCAUAGCUGUUGGGACCCGAAAGAUGGUGAACUAUGCUUGAAUAGGGUGAAGCCAGAGGAAACUCUGGUGGAGGCUCGCAGCGGUUCUGACGUGCAAAUCGAUCGUCAAAUUUGGGCAUAGGGGCGAAAGACUAAUCGAACUAUCU